GGACUACUCGGGUAUCUAAUCCUGUUUGCUCCCCACGCUUUCGCACCUCAGUGUCAGUAUUGGUCCAGGAAGCCGCCUUCGCCACUGGUGUUCCUUCCGAUAUCUACGCAUUUCACCGCUACACCGGAAAUUCCACUUCCCUCUACCAUACUCAAGAUACCCAGUAUCAGAUGCAAUUCCCAGGUUAAGCCCAGGACUUUCACAUCUGACUUAAAUAUCCACCUACGUGCGCUUUACGCCCAGUAAUUCUGAUUAACGCUUGCACUCUCUGUAUUACCGCGGCUGCUGGCAC
rnacentral:rRNA from 1 species